rnacentral:tRNA from 1 species
UCUUCCUUGGUCUAGUGGUCAGGAUACCUGCUUGUCAAGCACAAUUCGCAGGUGGCCGGGGUUCGAUUCCCCGAGGGAGAG